AUGGAACAGUGUAAGAAAGGUGACGCAGAAUCAAAAUCGAUUGUGUUGUUCUUCGUGUUAAGAAAGGAGAAAUCAGAAGAUUCUAGCGUGAACAUGAAAGAAGGCAUGAUCAGAGAGAAUACGAUUGUUAUUCUUCAGAUUUUUGUUGAUUUUGGAACAGAAAAAUCGUGUGAGAAAGAGCAGAGGCAGAGAGGAGGAUCGUGA